GGGGGAGAAAUAAAUAAAGGUGAUUGAGAGAUGAAAAGGAAAAGAAAGAUAUAACAAUAUUUGUAACGGAGGAAUGCAUAUAGAUGUAUAUACUAUGGUAGGUUUCUGGUAAAGGCACAUAAAAUAUAGAGAAUGUGGGUGAUAACUAUGAAGAAAAGAUGUUUGGAUUCUCUGUUGAAAAAGGAAUGUGGUAGAACGAAGGUAGUUUUACUGGGGAUCAGUGUUUCAGCAUCAAAGAAAAAAUUUGAUCUCUAGUACUGUCUUUUAUCAGUGUGUGAAUAUCUUUCGUCAAAGACUAUAGAUUAUGAGUAUGGCAAUUUGAUAAUGUCUU
rnacentral:lncRNA from 1 species